UAAGCAUAUCAAUAAGCGGAGGAAAAGAAACCAACCGGGAUUGCCUCAGUAACGGCGAGUGAAGCGGCAAGAGCUCAAAUUUGAAAGCUGGCUCCUUCGGGGUCCGCAUUGUAAUUUGCAGAGGAUGCUUCGGGUGCAGCCCCCGUCUAAGUGCCCUGGAACGGGCCGUCAUAGAGGGUGAGAAUCCCGUAUGGGGCGGGGUGUCUGCGUCCGUGUGAAGCUCCUUCGACGAGUCGAGUUGUUUGGGAAUGCAGCUCUAAAUGGGUGGUAAAUUUCAUCUAAAGCUAAAUACUGGCCGGAGACCGAUAGCGCACAAGUAGAGUGAUCGAAAGAUGAAAAGCACUUUGAAAAGAGAGUUAAACAGCACGUGAAAUUGUUGAAAGGGAAGCGCUUGCAACCAGACUCGCUCGCGGGGUUCAGCCGGGCUUCGGCCCGGUGUACUUCCCCGCGGGCGGGCCAGCGUCGGUUUGGGCGGCCGGUCAAAGGCCUCCGGAAUGUAGCGCCCUUCGGGGCGCCUUAUAGCCGGGGGUGCAAUGCGGCCAGCCUGGACCGAGGAACGCGCUUCGGCACGGACGCUGGCAUAAUGGUUGUAAACGACCCGUCUUGAAACACGGACCAAGGAGUCUAACAUCUACGCGAGUGUUCGGGUGUCAAACCCGUACGCGCAGUGAAAGCGAACGGAGGUGGGAGCCCCCUCGCGGGGCGCACCAUCGACCGAUCCUGAUGUCUUCGGAUGGAUUUGAGUACGAGCGUAGCUGUGGGGACCCGAAAGAUGGUGAACUAUGCCUGAAUAGGGCGAAGCCAGAGGAAACUCUGGUGGAGGCUCGCAGCGGUUCUGACGUGCAAAUCGAUCGUCAAAUUUGGGUAUAGGGGCGAAAGACUAAUCGAACCAUCUGGUAGCUGGUUCCUGCCAAA
rnacentral:rRNA from 1 species